CUCAGCUUGCUUCCUUCUGAGGAUUUGAUUCAUAAUGACGUCCAGGAUGAGUUGACUGUAACAGUUGAUUCAUAAGGACAUCCAGGAUGAGUUGACUGUAACAGUUGAUUCAUAAUGACGUCCAGGAUGAGUUGACUGUAACAGUUGAUUCAUAAGGACAUCCAGGAUGAGUUGACUGUAACAGUUGAUUCAUAAGGACAUCCAGGAUGAGUUGACUGUAACAGUUGAUUCAUAAUGACAUCCAGGAUGAGUUGACUGUAACAGUUGAUUCAUAAGGACGUCCAGGAUGAGUUGACUGUAACAGUUGAUUCAUAAGGACAUCCAGGAUGAGUUGACUGUAACAGUUGAUUCAUAAUGACGUCCAGGAUGAGUUGACUGUAACAGUUGAUUCAUAAUGACGUCCAGGAUGAGUUGACUGUAACAGUUGAUUCAUAAGGACAUCCAGGUUGAGUUGACUGUAACAGUUGAUUCAUAAUGACGUCCAGGUUGAGCUGACUGUAACAGUUGAUUCAUAAGGACAUCCAGGAUGAGUUGACUGUAACAGUUGAUUCAUAAGGACAUCCAGGAUGAGUUGACUGUAACAGUUGAUUCAUAAUGACGUCCAGGAUGAGUUGACUGUAACAGUUGAUUCAUAAGGACGUCCAGGAUGAGUUGACUGUAACAGUUGAUUCAUAAGGACAUCCAGGAUGAGUUGACUGUAACAGUUGAUUCAUAAUGACGUCCAGGAUGAGUUGACUGUAACAGUUGAUUCAUAAGGACAUCCAGGUUGAGUUGACUGUAACAGUUGAUUCAUAAUGACAUCCAGGAUGAGUUGACUGUAACAGUUGAUUCAUAAGGACAUCCAGGAUGAGUUGACUGUAACAGUUGAUUCAUAAGGACAUCCAGGAUGAGUUGACUGUAACAGUUGAUUCAUAAGGACAUCCAGGAUGAGCUGACUGUAACAGUUGAUUCAUAAGGACAUCCAGGAUGAGUUGACUGUAACAGUUGAUUCAUAAGGACAUCCAGGAUGAGUUGACUGUAACAGUUGAUUCAUAAGGACAUCCAGGAUGAGUUGACUGUAACAGUUGAUUCAUAAUGACAUCCAGGAUGAGUUGACUGUAACAGUUGAUUCAUAAGGACAUCCAGGAUGAGUUGACUGUAACAGUUGAUUCAUAAUGACAUCCAGGAUGAGUUGACUGUAACAGUUGAUUCAUAAGGACAUCCAGGAUGAGUUGACUGUAACAGUUGAUUCAUAAGGACAUCCAGGAUGAGUUGACUGUAACAGUUGAUUCAUAAUGACAUCCAGGAUGAGUUGACUGUAACAGUUGAUUCAUAAGGACAUCCAGGAUGAGUUGACUGUAACAGUUGAUUCAUAAUGACAUCCAGGAUGAGUUGACUGUAACAGUUGAUUCAUAAUGACAUCCAGGAUGAGUUGACUGUAACAGUUGAUUCAUAAGGAC